AGGGUUUGAUCCUGGCUCAGGACGAACGCUGGCGGCGUGCCUAAUACAUGCAAGUCGAACGGUCUUUUCUAUGGAAGCUUGCUUCCACUGAGAAGAUAGUGGCGAACGGGUGAGUAACACGUGGGUAACCUGCCCAUAAGAGGGGGAUAACAUCCGGAAACGGGUGCUAAUACCGCAUAGUUUUCUUGAUCGCAUGAUCGGGAAAGGAAAGACGGCCUUUGUGCUGUCGCUUAUGGAUGGACCCGCGGCGUAUUAGUUAGUUGGUGAGGUAACGGCUCACCAAGACGAUGAUACGUAGCCGACCUGAGAGGGUGAUCGGCCACAUUGGGACUGAGACACGGCCCAAACUCCUACGGGAGGCAGCAGUAGGGAAUCUUCCGCAAUGGACGAAAGUCUGACGGAGCAACGCCGCGUGAGUGAAGAAGGUUUUCGGAUCGUAAAACUCUGUUGUCAGAGAAGAACAAGUUGGAGAGUAACUGCUCCAGCCUUGACGGUAUCUGACCAGAAAGCCACGGCUAACUACGUGCCAGCAGCCGCGGUAAUACGUAGGUGGCAAGCGUUGUCCGGAUUUAUUGGGCGUAAAGCGAGCGCAGGCGGUUCCUUAAGUCUGAUGUGAAAGCCCACGGCUCAACCGUGGAAGGUCAUUGGAAACUGGGGAACUUGAGUGCAGAAGAGGAGAGUGGAAUCCCAUGUGUAGCGGUGAAAUGCGUAGAUAUAUGGAGGAACACCAGUGGCGAAGGCGACUCUCUGGUCUGUAACU
rnacentral:rRNA from 1 species